CCCUAAUUGUAUCGACGCAAUGGAGUUUGACGGUUCUUCGUCACAAAACUAUUCUCUCUCUCUCACCACCUAUUUUCCUAAGAGAGAAAUUAAGUUCUGAUUAACAGAUCCUUCCAUGGUUUAUACCGGGUUUGUCAAAUCUCUUUUUUAUUUGAAUCGUCUUAUUGAUUCAGAUUGAAUAAUAUAAUUCCCACUUCGUUUUUAUCUGUGCUUAUCAAACCAUCAAUUUUGUUUGUGUUUGUCUUUGUCUUUCCUCGCCACAAUCUCUUCUGAUGAACAAUACGAAUCCCUUCUGAUCGUUUUUGUCUUAUCUACCACUGGCUCAACAUAAACCACAUGGAGAUCGAAGAACUUUGGUGCCGCCGUUCAGUGUUAAGCGGACUUCGUCGGAAGUGUACGGCGAAGAUUCUCAGUGAGGAGAUGGAGUUGAAAUGAGGAUGAGAGCUCCUACUUCUCUUUGAAGAAAUUUAUGGACGGCUCAAGAAUAUUACUCAGUUAGCGCCGUUGGAAAACGUAUUUGGCUUUGAACGUAGCAAAAAUAAGUGGCCAUUUAGUUCUUGAAGUUGGAGUUUUUCUAAUUGGAUUUAUAUUUAUCGUGAUGGCGCUUGAUCUCUCUGUUCUUGGCAUAGGUGGUAGAGAUGGCCACUUACGCAUAAAAAGUCAAAGAUGAAGGGGUUGUUUUUGCCGAUCGGAGGAGCAUUCGUGCUUGCCGACGUAAGCGAGAUUCAAUUCUUGAGUUAUCACCAGUUGUAAAACGUAUGAUCAGGACGGCUAUAGAUCGUGAUAGACUCAUGAAUGGGUUUAUGAAGCAUGGACCAUUUGAUUCAGUGAAGAAGAGAGUAUGAAGCAUGUACCAUUUGAUCCAGUGAAUGUUAGAUUUCGCGUCUCUUACGUGUAGUGUGUGUGAGCUUCAUCCACAGGGUGUUGUUCUUAUAAGAUUCAAGGAUCACAAAGAUGCUCAGAAAUGUACAGAUGCAAUGAACGGUUGAUGGUAUGCAAAGAGAGAUACAUGCGAGCCUUGACAGUGGAUCAGUGAACCACGCUGCGGUUCGUGACUUUGAUUCAGAAGCCGUACGGUUAGAUCAGUUUGCAGCUGAGCUAGAAGCUGAAUAGAAGAGAAACAAAAUCACAAUAAAUCUAAAAGCUCUUUUGUAGAAUACACGAUGUUAGUUGUUCAGAGGUUUCAAGUAUAACCAUAUUUUUUUCA